rnacentral:rRNA from 1 species
UACGUAGGGAGCGAGCGUUGUCCGGAAUUACUGGGCGUAAAGGGCGCGUAGGCGGGAUCUUAAGUCAGGUGUGAAAACUCUGGGCUCAACUCGGAGACUGCAUUUGAAACUGGGAUUCUUGAGGGCAGGAGAGGAAAGUGGAAUUCCUAGUGUAGCGGUGAAAUGCGUAGAUAUUAGGAGGAACACCAGUGGCGAAGGCGACUUUCUGGACUGAACCUGACGCUGAGGCGCGAAAGCGUGGGGAGCAAAC